rnacentral:rRNA from 1 species
GAUGAACGCUAGCUACAGGCUUAACACAUGCAAGUCGAGGGGCAGCAUGGAGUUUGCUUGCAAACUCUGAUGGCGACCGGCGCACGGGUGAGUAACGCGUAUCCAACCUUCCCCGUAGUAGGGCAUAGCCCGGUGAAAAUCGGAUUAAUACCCUAUGUUUUCCGAAGCGGGCAUCUAAUUCGGAGCAAAGGUUUACCGCUAUGGGAUGGGGAUGCGUCUGAUUAGGUUGCAGGCGGGGUAACGGCCCACCUGGCCGACGAUCAGUAGGGGUUCUGAGAGGAAGGUCCCCCACACUGGUACUGAGACAUGGACCAGACUCC